rnacentral:rRNA from 1 species
GGAGGCCACUGCUAUUGGGAUCCGACUAAGCCAUGCGAGUCGAGAGGGUUCGGCCCUCGGCAGACUGCUCAGUAACACGUGGAUAAUCUACCCUUAGGUGGAGGAUACUCUCGGGAAACUGAGAAUAAUACUCCAUAGAUCCAGGAUGCUGGAAUGCACCUAGAUUGAAAGUUCCGGCGCCUAAGGAUGAGUCUGCGGACUAUCAGGUAGUAUUCAGGGUAAAGACCUGACUAGCCUACGACGGAUACGGGUUGUGAGAGCAAUAGCCCGGAGACGAUAUCUGAGACACGAUAUCGGGCCCUACGGGGCGCAGCAGGCGCGAAAUCUUCACAAUGUGCGAAAGCACGAUGAGGGGAUCCCAAGUGUUGGUUCGUAAGAAUCAUCUGUUUCUUUGUCUAAAAAACAGAGAGAGUAAGAGCUGGGUAAGACGGGUGCCAGCCGCCGCGGUAAUACCUGCAGCUCAAGUGGUGGCCGCUAUUAUUGGGCCUAAAACGUCCGUAGCCGGUUUAGUAAAUGCUUGGGUAAAUUGUGUAGCUCAACUAUACGAAUACCGAGUAGACUGCUGAACUUGGGACCGGGAGAGGCUAGAGGUACUCCUAGGGUAGAGGUGAAAUUCUGUAAUCCUAGGGGGACCACCAGUGGCGAAGGCGUCUAGCCAGAACGGGUCUGACGGUGAGGGACGAAGCCCUGGGGCGCAAACCGGAUUAGAUACCCGGGUAGUCCAGGGUGUAAACGCUGCUCGCUUGAUGUUAGUUGGGCUCCGAGCCCAACUAGUGUCGGAGAGAAGUUGUUAAGCGAGCUGCCUGGGAAGUACGGUCGCAAGGCUGAAACUUAA